UCGGUAAUUCACAAACCCUGAAGUCCCUCAUCCUCUCGAGCCUCCCCCUGGCCCCUGUCCUCUCAGACACGCUGAACGGCGGCUGAACGGCACGGUCUCAGUCCUUCACCGCUACAUCCCACUCCCUCAGUCCCUUACCGCCACCUCUCAGUCUCUCACGCAGUCAGGCUACCCGUCAUCGUCACGUCACGCACACGGCAACAGCCAACAGGAAGUCUCUCGUUGCAUCACCGCCACCUCUCACUCUCUCGUCGCGUCUUCUCGUUGUCGUGAGUUUGUCAGUCGACGCCUUCGCAGUUCGUCGCCUCUUCACCGGUCGUCGCGUCUUCGCCGGCAAUCGCCUCUUCGCCGGCCGUUUCCUCUUCUCUUCGGGAUUCAAGUAAAUCGAAUUCUACCGUGGUACUAUUAUUACGCACAUGAUGAAAGGAGAAUUUAGAAUUAUAUUAAUGUGAUGAACUUUGUUUGGCUGUUUAUGGAUAUAUUUGAUUGUUUUAUGGAAUAUUUGGUUGUUUAUAGAUAUGUUUAAAUGUUGAUGAUUGUUGGUUAUUGUUAUUUAAAUCUUUAAAUACCAUGGAAAUUUGGUUAGUAAGGACAA